GACAGCGAUCCGAGCGCGCAUUAACUUUGGGAGAGCAGUCCUCAACUUCGGUCAACCUUCAUAUUUAGUCCAGUCCGUGCCUGCCGGCAGAGAUGCUGUAUCAAUUGGAAUGACAUCCUGUGGAGUGUCUCUGAGUGAUGGCUAUCUUGACUUGUUCGAGAACUUUUCAUCGGGUCUCUGCAGAGUUGCACAUUUUUGUGCGGGCUACUUUCUGGAACCCCGCUGGAUAUAACGUUACAUAGAAUGUGGUUGUCCUUGAUGAUGUGGUUUCCGCACUGAUAAAGGCUGCAUUCAGUUUAGAUACAAAUCAAAAUGUCAGUGAAUCAAUGAAGUUAAGUGAUUUAGUGGCUGGUAAAAGAAAGAAGAUAGAGAGUUGAAUGCGAGCAAGGCAUAUGUAAAGCAUGAACUUCAUCUGCAAUUGACUGAGUGGCUCUGCACGUCAGCAAGACUGGAUCCCUCCAAACAGGAUAACUUCUUCACUGGAACAACACUGCUGCACCAUUCUUUCUGCUGGCUGCAAGGACUGCGAAGGAGGACAUGAGUGAUGGAGCGGCAGGCGGAAUGUGACCAUAUCCUUUUCCAGUCUGAUGAUUUUGGAGGCAAUUUUUGGGGUUGAUUUUUAAUUAUGAUAAGCUUGGCAGGUCAGAGCUGGGGAGUCGUUUAAAUGCUCACCGUAGGCAUUGGUGGAGGGAAAGCAGCGUCUCUUAUGAACUGCUGCCACAGAGUGGGAUAUAAAUUAUUUCUUCUAAAUCAUAGGGGAACAGGCAUUGUCAGUUUAUGACAGCAUUAGGAUGACGCUCUCUAUGGACAUGGAGGUCGACUCCCAUGCUUCGACAGAUUUUCUCACCGAGUAGCUGAAAGCCUUCAGUUAUCUCACCGAGUAGUCUGUGCCAAGCAGUGUUCAUUUUGAGUUGUGUAGGCCACUUGAGUCAGUUGAGAUUCAGGUGGAGAGUAAUGGGAGGGGCUUGUGGGACUAGUUUCAUGGGCGGCACAUAUAAUGUCAUAGCUUUCAUUGCCUCCAUAAUUAGUCUGGUUUCAAGUCUGUCAUAUUUUGUCUGCGCCUUUGGACCAGUCACUUAUUUUGGCCCUGUACUAGUCAACAAUUCUGCUGUGAUGGAUUUAAUCACUUGUGUAGUCUGUGUGAUGAGAUUUCCUCCUGCAUUUUCUCCUGGUUGCACAAGGCCUCUGAUUUGGGGCACAUUUCUGUUGUGAGUUUGGAAAAAGGUCUGUGUGGCACAAAGUAAGCAAGUAAUGUUUGCCUUGAAUUUUGAGUGAGGUGAAUGAGAGCACUUAUGAGUUUUAUUAUUAUUCACAAUUUCACUGUACUCCUUUGAUUUUGUGGCUGGUCUAAGAGAGCUGAAAAGGUUGACAGGAAGCAAAAACUUGGUCUCUUAUAGACUGAGGGGCUCUGCUUGUCUGUAUGACUGGAUCCCUUCCAACUAGAACAAGACUGGCUGCACCUCUUUUAAUCUUUCUGCUGGCUGCAAGGACUGCGAAGGAGGACAUGAGUGAUGGAGCGGCAGGCGGAAUGUGACCAUAUCCUUUUCCAGUCUGAUGAUUUUGGAGGCAAUUUUUGGGGUUGAUUUUUAAUUGUGAUAAGCUUGGCAGGUCAGAGCUGGGGAGUCGUUUAAAUGCUCACCGUAGGCAUUGGUGGAGGGAAAGCAGCGUCUCUUAUGAACUGCUGCCACAAAGUGGGAUAUAAAUGAUUUCUUCUAAAUGAUAGGGGAACAGGCAUUGUCAGUUUAUGACAGCAUUAGGAUGACGCUCUCUAUGGACAUGGAGGUCGACUCCCAUGCUUCGACAGAUUUUCUCGCCGAGUAGCUGAAAGCCUUCAGUUAUCUCACCGAGUAGUCUGUGCCAAGCAGUGUUCAUUUUGAGUUGUGUAGGCCACUUGAGUCAGUUGAGAUUCAGGUGGAGAGUAAUGGGAGGGGCUUGUGGGACUAGUUUCAUGGGCGGCACCACUCUAAAAAAUAAUAUAGGAUUUUGUAACGAUUUUGAUACAAAAUUCUGUAACACGUCAGUCUGAUACAAAAAUUUGUAUCCUUGAUCCUAAAUUCUGCAUCACGUCAAGAAUGUUACGAAUUUACGAAUCAGUGCUUCAGAAUUCUAAAACUGAUACAAAAUUCUGUACUUUUUGUUUCAAUAUUCACAAUCAGUGAUACAGUUCCAUGUAAAAAUGCGAUCUUAAUGCAAAUAACUGUAACUGAUACAGAAAACUGUAACAUGUUGUUACAAGUUUACAUAUCGUCUGAUGCAAAAUUCAAUAACGCAAAUUUAAGGUCAAAUUAGGAGCUUAAUUUUUUACAUCACAGUUGAUCGGGCGAAAAGUCCUAACGUAGGGCAUGGUACUUAAGAAGCUUCGGGCCAGGAACUCUAACUGUCGCGCCGCAGGGCUCGUUUCCCACCACUACCUGGGCAUGCAGCGUGCCCGCUCGGUGUGACCGACAGUCUGAGGCGUGCCUCCCCAUGCGGCGCUGUGGCGCAAGCGGUAGCAUGCCGAGCUGGCAAUCCGGGGGACCGGGGUUCGAUUCCGGAGAACGCAGUUCGAUUUCUCCGGGUGUUCGGGAGUACAGGAGCAACGGAGCGAAUGUGUAGAAACGAACGACCGUUAUACGAUUCAAAUUUUGUUUUUAAAACGUCAAAUUUUUAUGAUUUUAGCAUUGCAGAAUUCUGUAACCGGGAAACAGUUUACCGUAACGCGUGAUACAAAAUUUUGUAUCAGUGUUGAUACAAAAUUCUGUAACAUUUGUAGUUGAAAUUACUGCGUAACCAUGUUACAAAAUUUUUUAACUUUCAUUGCCUCCUUAAUUAGUCUGGUUUCAAAUAUGUCAUAUCCUUUUCCCGUCUGAUGAUUUUGGAGGCAAUUUUUGGGGUUGAUUUUUAAUUGUGAUAAGCUUGGCAGGUCAGAGCUGGGGAGUGGUUUAAAUGCUCACCGUAGGCAUUGGUGGAGGGAAAGCAGCGUCUCUUAUGAACAGGCAGUGGCAGACUGCGCUUGUAAAUGAAACCAAUUUUUCAUACUUGGUGUGUCCGUUCCAUGUUCUUAAGUGGCCAUUUCAAAGUGGUGGCUCCACCCCUUACCGUCCGUUUGCGAGGAAAGGCGUCACUGCAGUGCAUAAACAUUUGCUCUGUGGUGCAUGCACCCUUCCUCACGAUCGCGGGUCUGACACUUGCUGCGUGCACCACACUGCGAGGUGAGGUCCAUGCGCCUUCUGCCUGGCGUUUUCCUGGGUGCUUAUCACCCCUUCUUCCUUGGUGAGGGAGGGCCGCCGCUGCAGUGCAUGCACUUGCUCUGUGGUGUGCCGAGCCCUCCGCACCGGCACGGAUGCGGCGUGCUGCGUGUGCCAGCUUGCUGGCCUCCAGCAACGACAGCGUCUUUAGAGCUCCUGUCCUCGCGACCAAUUAUGCAAGCAAAAAUGCGGAUGAAGCGUGCGGUUUUGCGUCCCCACGCGCGUGCCGAUCACCCGAGCAGGGGUACCCGUUCCCGGCAGGGGUGGCCUUGCUGCAAUGGUGACACGCGUGUGGGAGGUCGUGGCGUGCGGCGGCCUGCGAGGCGUCGUCUGCCUAGAACCACC